GCCUAAUACAUGCAAGUCGGGGAGAAAGGGGUAGCAAUAUCCCGAGUACACCGGCGAACGGGUGAGUAACGCGUAGGCAACUUACCUUGUAGACGGGAAUAACCCCGCGAAAGCGGAGCUAAUACCCGAUGCAGUCCCGUCGUGACAUCACGACGGGAUGAAAGAUCCCAAAAGGAUGCUACAAGAUGGGCCUGCGUCCCAUUAGCUCGUUGGCGGGGUAACGGCCCACCAAGGCUACGAUGGGUAGCUGGUCUGAGAGGAUGGUCAGCCACACUGGAACUGAGACACGGUCCAGACUUCUACGGAAGGCAGCAGUGAGGAAUAUUGCUCAAUGGGCGAAAGCCUGAAGCAGCGACGCCGCGUGAGGGAUGAAGUCCGUUAGGAUGUAAACCUCUUUUGCAGAGGAAGAAUGUUCCGCCUCGGGCGGAAAGAGACGGUACUCUGCGAAUAAGCACCGGCCAACUACGUGCCAGCAGCCGCGGUAAUACGUAGGGUGCAAGCGUUAUCCGGAAUCAUUGGGUGUAAAGGGUCCGCAGGCGGACAGGCAAGUCGGUGGUGAAAGUUUACGGCUCAACCGUAAAAUUGCCUUCGAUACUGCUUGUCUUGAGUGUGAGAGAGGAUGAUGGAAUUCAUGGUGUAGCAGUGAAAUGCGUAGAUAUCAUGAAGAACACCGGUUGCGAAGGCGGUCAUCUGGCUCACAACUGACGCUCAGGGACGAAAGCGUGGGGAGCAAACAGGAUUAGAUACCCUGGUAGUCCACGUCCUAAACGAUGGAUACUCGGUGUCGGUCCGCAAGGAUCGGUGCCUAAGCCAACGCAUUAAGUAUCUCACCUGGGGAGUACGAUCGCAAGGUUGAAACUCAAAGGAAUUGACGGGGGCCCGCACAAGCAGUGGAGCAUGUGGUUCAAUUCGAUGCAACGCGAGGAACCUUACCUGGGUUUGAAAGGCUCUGUAAACCGGUGAAAGCCGGCUAGCGUAGCAAUACGCGCGGAGUACAGGUGCUGCAUGGCUGUCGUCAGCUCGUGCCGUGAGGUGUUAGGUUAAGUCCUGCAACGAGCGCAACCCCUACACUUAGUUGCCAUCAGGUCAUGCUGGGCACUCUAAGUGGACUGCCUACGCAAGUAGUGAGGAAGGUGGGGAUGACGUCAAGUCCUCAUGGCCCUUACAUCCAGGGCGACACACGUGCUACGAUGGCCGCUACAGAGGGUUGCCGAGGCGCAAGCCGGAGCCAUCCCAAAAAGCGGUCUCAGUUCGAAUUGGGUCUGCACACGACCCCAUGAAGCUGGAAAUUGCUAGUUAAUCGCGC
rnacentral:rRNA from 1 species